GUAUACGUGGUAGGGGAGCGUUCUGUAAGCCGAUGAAGGUGUGUUGAGAAGCAUGCUGGAGGUAUCAGAAGUGCGAAUGCUGACGUGAGUAACGACAAAACGGGUGAAAAACCCGUUCGCCGAAAGACCAAGGGUUCCAGUCCAACGUUAAUCGGGGCUGGGUGAGUCGACCCCUAAGGCGAGGCCGAAAGGCGUAGUCGAUGGGAAAAUGGUUAAUAUUCCAUUACUUCUGUGUAAUGCGAUGAGAGGACGGAGAAGGCUAAAUCAGCCUGGCGUUGGUUGUCCAGGUGAAAGGAUGUAGGCAUGUAUCUUAGGCAAAUCCGGGGUACUCUAUGCUGAGAUCUGAUAGCAAGCUGUACUUGUACAGCGAAGUGGUUGAUGCCAUGCUUCCAGGAAAAGUCUCUAAGCUUCAGUUACACAGGAAUCGUACCCGAAACCGACACAGGUGGUCAGGUCGAGUAGACCAAGGCGCUUGAGAGAACUCUGCUGAAGGAACUAGGCAAAAUGGUACCGUAACUUCGGGAGAAGGUACGCUGUUGUUGGUGAUGGAACUCGCUUCCUGAGCUGACGACAGCCGCAGAAACCAGGCCGCUGCAACUGUUUAUUAAAAACAUAGCACUCUGCAAACACGAAAGUGGACGUAUAGGGUGUGAUGCCUGCCCGGUGCUGGAAGGUUAAUUGAUGGGGUUAGCGUAAGCGAAGCUCUUGAUCGAAGCCCCAGUAAACGGCGGCCGUAACUAUAACGGUCCUAAGGUAGCGAAAUUCCUUGUCGGGUAAGUUCCGACCUGCACGAAUGGCAUAAUGAUGGCGGCGCUGUCUCCAGCAGAGGCUCAGUGAAAUCGAAAUCGCUGUGAAGAUGCAGUGUACCCGCGGCUAGACGGAAAGACCCCGUGAACCUUUACUGCAGCUUGACACUGAACUUUGACCUUACUUGUGUAGGAUAGGUGGGAGGCUUUGAAGCUGGAACGCUAGUUCCAGUGGAGCCGUCCUUGAAAUACCACCCUGGUAAUGUUGAGGUUCUAACUCUGUCCCGUGAUCCGGGACGAGGACCGUGUCUGGUGGGUAGUUUGACUGGGGCGGUCUCCUCCUAAAGAGUAACGGAGGAGUACGAAGGUGCGCUCAGCGUGGUCGGAAAUCACGCGUAGAGUAUAAAGGCAAAAGCGCGCUUAACUGCGAGACCCACAAGUCGAGCAGGUACGAAAGUAGGUCUUAGUGAUCCGGUGGUUCUGUAUGGAAGGGCCAUCGCUCAACGGAUAAAAGGUACUCUGGGGAUAACAGGCUGAUACCGCCCAAGAGUUCAUAUCGACGGCGGUGUUUGGCACCUCGAUGUCGGCUCAUCUCAUCCUGGGGCUGAAGCAGGUCCCAAGGGUAUGGCUGUUCGCCAUUUAAAGAGGUACGCGAGCUGGGUUUAGAACGUCGUGAGACAGUUCGGUCCCUAUCUACCGUGGGCGCUGGAAAUUUGAGAGGAUCUGCUCCUAGUACGAGAGGACCAGAGUGGACGAACCUCUGGUGUACCGGUUGUGACGCCAGUCGCAUCGCCGGGUAGCUAUGUUCGGAAGGGAUAACCGCUGAAAGCAUCUAAGCGGGAAGCCUACCUCAAGAUAAGAUUUCCCUAGGACUUUAUGUCCUCUAAAGAGCCGUUCGAGACUAGGACGUUGAUAGGUUGGAUGUGGAAGCAUAGUGAUAUGUGAAGCUGACCAAUACUAAUUGCUCGUGAGGCUUGACUAUACAACACCCAAGCAGUUG
rnacentral:rRNA from 1 species